AGUCGAGCGGAAUGAUGAGAGCUUGCUCUCUGAUUUUAGCGGCGGACGGGUGAGUAACACGUGGGCAACCUGCCCUACAGAUGGGGAUAACUCCGGGAAACCGGGGCUAAUACCGAAUAAUCAGUUUGUCCGCAUGGACAAACUCUGAAAGACGGUUUCGGCUGUCACUGUAGGAUGGGCCCGCGGCGCAUUAGCUAGUUGGUGGGGUAAUGGCCUACCAAGGCAACGAUGCGUAGCCGACCUGAGAGGGUGAUCGGCCACACUGGGACUGAGACACGGCCCAGACUCCUACGGGAGGCAGCAGUAGGGAAUCUUCCACAAUGGACGAAAGUCUGAUGGAGCAAUGCCGCGUGAGCGAAGAAGGUUUUCGGAUCGUAAAGCUCUGUUGUAAGGGAAGAACACGUACGGGAGUAACUGCCCGUGCCAUGACGGUACCUUAUUAGAAAGCCACGGCUAACUACGUGCCAGCAGCCGCGGUAAUACGUAGGUGGCAAGCGUUGUCCGGAAUUAUUGGGCGUAAAGCGCGCGCAGGCGGUUCUUUAAGUCUGAUGUGAAAGCCCACGGCUCAACCGCGGAGGGUCAUUGGAAACUGGAGAACUUGAGUACAGAAGAGGAAAGCGGAAUUCCACGUGUAGCGGUGAAAUGCGUAGAGAUGUGGAGGAACACCAGUGGCGAA
rnacentral:rRNA from 1 species